CACGGCGCACGGGUGCGUAACACGUGGGCAAUCUGCCCUCAGAUGGGGGAUAACCCGCCGAAAGGCGGGCUAAUACCGCAUGACAUUCCGGGGACUCCGGUCCCUGGACUCAAAGGCCGCAAGGCCGUCAGAGGAGGAGCCCGCGCCCGAUUAGCUAGUUGGCGGGGUAACGGCCCACCAAGGCUUUGAUCGGUAGCCGGUCUGAGAGGAUGGCCGGCCACACUGGAACUGAGACACGGUCCAGACUCCUACGGGAGGCAGCAGUGGGGAAUAUUGCGCAAUGGGCGAAAGCCUGACGCAGCGACGCCGCGUGGGGGAUGAAGCUUCUCGGAGUGUAAGCCCCUUUCGACCCGGACGAAUGACCCGCAAGGGUUUGACGGUACGGGUAUAAGAAGCCCCGGCUAACUACGCGCCAGCAGCCGCGGUAAUACGUAGGGGGCCAGCGUUGCUCGGAAUUACUGGGCGUAAAGGGUUCGUAGGCGGUGCGGCAAGUUGGGAGUGAAAUCUCUGGGCUUAACCCAGAGGCUGCUUUCAAAACUGCCGUGCUCGAGUGCGGGAGAGGCCAGUGGAAUUGCAGGUGUAGCGGUGAAAUGCGUAGAUAUCUGCAGGAACACCCGUGGCGAAGGCGGCUGGCUGGACCGCAACUGACGCUGAGGAACGAAAGCUAGGGGAGCAAACAGGAUUAGAUACCCUGGUAGUCCUAGCCCUAAACCAUCAGAACUUGGGGUGGCCCGCGUAGGCGGGUCGUCCCGUAGCUAACGCGUUAAGUUCUGCGCCUGGGGAGUACGGUCGCAAGACUGAAACUCAAAGGAAUUGACGGGGGCCCGCACAAGCGGUGGAACAUGUGGUUCAAUUCGA
rnacentral:rRNA from 1 species